CAGGGCAUAGACAGAGUUCUGGAUAUUCAGAAAGAAAUGACAAGACUGUUGGAAUCUCGAAGCAAAAUGUCUGGUUCACAAGCAAACAGUAAGAAAGGAAAAGC